GCCGGAGGGAGUUCAGCUGGCCGGGCGGGGAAGCAGGGCGUGAGGCAGCCGGCCAGGUGCCAUAGCAACGCAGCUCAAGCUCCGGGAUGGAACUAGCCAUAUCCCUCAGCAGGGAGACAAGCAGGCACAGCUGGGUUUGUGGAACUGGUUCACACCUUGUUGCGCCACAGGCAGAUGAAUGGCUAACCCCGAUGUAAGGUCAACUCUAAAAAUAAGAAGAGCAGCUUGGUGUGGGCAUUUCUGCAACACACACAACAAGUGUUGCUGGCUGGGUAGGAGCCACAAGUGGCGGAGAAUGUGCUAGAUGUCCUGGUGUGUUCCUGAUGCUGGGGAGAACAGCCAGAGAGCCAAACCCCUGUGGAAGCCAAGCACUCGUUUCCAAUAGCACACUGUGCCACUUGGGCCUUUGUUGGGAUGUGCUUGGACCUGGCGGUGCCUCUCAGUUCAGGGACUAUCUGUGGCCCAGUCAGGAGUCGGAGUCUGUGGAGCAGUUCAGGGCACGCGCAGCUGGUGCUGUGCAUCAGAAGAACAACUUCCACAACAACCGGGGGAAAGAGGAUUGGCAAGCCAAGCACAUUUUGCAGGGCCAUCCUGGGGAAUGUGAUUGAAGGGUCACAAGAAACAUACUGAUAUUGAAUGAAUGAGUUCAGUUCCUGAAAAUUCGGUACUGGACUUCAGAGAUUUCACAUAUCGCCAGAGUGGUGUGCCCCAAUAACUUCCUCGCGGGUGCAUCCGUCACCAUUUGCAGCUUCCAGCUAUAGAGAGGAAGAGGCUCUACUGCAGCGGCUCAAAUCAGGUGCAAUGGAGGCAGAGCUCCACUUUCUCCAGGAAGGGGCAUCAUUCAAUAACCACCCAAAGCUGUGCAAAAAUGCUCCUAGUCUUAGUCACCCACUGAAUUUUCCUGGAGCUAUCAAAGCUUGUGAAAUAACAACCAACAUCAACAAUGAAUAAUGCUUGCAAAGCUAAGCUUGCAAAACCACCAUCAUCUCAAGACUGUUUACAGCAGCUGAAUCACCUGAACUUGCCAGCAAUAAAAUUAAUGGCAGGCUGCAGCUUUAGUCUGGUUAUUUGCUCAGGGAAUCCUCUCCUCUUCCUGUAACAAAUGAACUCACAAGCAGCAGGUGGGUAGCAGAGCUUUGUCUUGAUGGCAUCACUUCAGAUUGCAGCUGGGAGCAAGUGAAGGCCACAUAAGGGGGGCAGCUCCCUACCCUGAAAAAUAUACCCCAGCUUUUCAGAAGGAAAGGGGGUUGAAAACGCCUUUUUGCUUGGUAUGCAGGUUUUGGGGGUGUAUUUUUUGAAAACACAUCUUUAAACACAUCUUUCAGUCAUGUGGAUUCAUCCCCUCCCUGCAGGCACACACACUUGCUCCCCUUUCCCUGCCAACCUCUGUCCCGAAUGGCUGCCCUGAGGGCCCAAGUUCAGGCCCUUGAAAUCUCAGCUUCUGAAAUGCUCUUGCCUGGCAACCCUAACAUACCCACAGUGCUGUGAAGUGAUGCAGCCCCAGUUCGACAGGUUUCUUCAUCAUUUGUGAGAAUUAAGACGGAGACAGAGAACACUGUGAAUGUUUCUGGACUCCCCCUCCCAUCAGUGCCAGGAUGAUGGGAGUUGUAGUUCAGCAACAUCCCGAGGACCACAAGUUCCAUGGUCCCUGCAUCCAGACUCCCUUCCAACAGGAAGUCAGCCUGGUUGAGACUGAAUCAGCAGCAUUCAAAGCUGCAGAGGGUGGCAGAAAGCACACUGACGACCGAGGAGUAGAGGGUGCCCAAGAGCAAGCAGGGCAUCUUGGGAAAAGCAGACAAAGGUUUCUUGUGUGGGUGAUGCAAUGCCCAGAGGACGCGUUGCCUCCUCUGGCUGGAAGCUUCCGACCCAGCUGCCCCACCUGCUCUGCAGAGAGCAUUGCCUUGAUGUGGGGAAACAUCCGAGAAGACAGGCUGUGAGGCAGAGAUGCUAAUCUCAGCUGUUGAGCUGGUGUACCUGGGAGAGUUGAAAGCUAGUGGUGCUUCAGAGCGGGGUAAAAAGCAGCAGCAGCACCCACGAUCUUCUAGCCCCACUGGUUGUGGGAGGAGGCUUGGUUGCUCCUGGUUCAUGUGUGGGGUUCUGUGCAAAGUGGGGUGACUCACUCACACUGCAUAUUUUCUUUCUUUCUUUUUUAAGGGAAAAAUGCGGGGAAGGGUCGGAGGCAAAUCCCUGCAGGAAGAGCGGUCUAGAGAGAGUUGUUAGCCAUAGUGGCUGAAAGGAACUUUCACAAACAGCAGCAGUAUAUCGCUUCAGCAUUGGUUUUUUGUUUUUGUAGAAAAAGGAGGUGCCAGUAACCCAAAGCCUGCUCACAGAGCUACAAUUCCCAGCACCCUUAAACUACAGUUCCCAGGAUUCUUUGGUGGAAGUCAUGUGCUUUAAAUGUGUGUAGGAUGUGCUUCAAAUGUACAGUGUGGAUCUGCCCUGAGAGAGAGAGAGAAACUGGGUCAGCACCCCCAGGUGUUUAGAGUCUGGUGUGCAAUACCCUUUUGCAUAUGUCAUUUCAUAGGUCAGGAGUGGAGAGUCACAUACCCUCCUGGGCCAGCUCCCAGGGGCCACAUCCCAGUGCGGGUGGACGCAGAUGCAAAAGCAGGCACAGCAGUGCACAUGAGCUCCCAGAGAGCCCCAGGGACCAAACAAGGGGGGGCAUUUGGCCUGAGGGCCAGAGGUUCUGCAGCUACCAGAGCAGAUACCCACCUUGUUCCCAAACUGUUCUUAAUCAGGGUGAUUGUGCAGCGGUUUGUCUGCACCUCAUGAACCUCCUUUUGUUAUACAUGAAGGAAGAUUUACAUGCUGGCUCUCUGCUUCUGCUCUCUACCUCAUUCACAGCUAAUCUCUUCCCCAACUAGAGGCCUUCCUGUGCCUGCACACCCAAAGCAGUAAGCGGCCUCCCAGGUGAACUUGUUUGCCCUUCCAACCCACUGUUGUUGGCUCAGGCUGGCAGCCGCUCUCCAGGGUUUUAGGCGAGAGAUCUUAUUUCCCAUCUGCUGCUACCUAUUUCUUGUUUUUCCAAAACUGGCGAUGCCAGGUAUUGAACUCGGCACCUUUUGCACGCAAAGCCAUGUUCCACUUAAGAGGGUUUGCCAGUUCUCAGAUUUCACAUUUAAAAGGCUGAUGGGAACAUUUGAAAGGUGACCUCUGGAGGUCCUUGGGCCUGGGCUGGAUGUAAGCAGGUCUCUCUCCGUGUCUGCUUAUAAGUCUUUCAUUUGCAAGAGCCACAGGGUUUGUAGCUAGGGAAGCAGCCAAGAGCUUGAAUCAUCUUCAGACAACGGUGAGCGGAUUAGAAUCUUGCAAUGCUCACAUAGGAAAUUGCUCCUUUCAUUUAACUUGGCAUGACUGCCACCUGAAGGCAGCUUUAUGUAACUGCAGCAACUCUGCGUACGCGUUACUGAAAUGAAAUAAUAGUGUUGUGACUUUGGAGGCAGGGGUCAGUCUGCACCAGUGGUUCUCAAUUAGCUAAAAACUGAGGACCCCCUGUUUUUCAAAAGCCAAGCCAUGGACCCCCUACAUUUGAAAAUGUUGAGUAUCUCUAUGUUAGUUUUUGUUAUGUGAAUGGUACUACAGUGGGUUGCAUGAACCCCAAUUGGGAACCACUGCUCUGCACAAUGCCCUUCCAGUUAUUGGGGUCCUUUAUCUGUGGGGAUUGGAGGUAGGGGAGCAAGGGUGCCAAUCCUGUCCCUCAAGCACCACAAUGAGCACGGUCAAAGAAGUUGAUCUGUGCCAAGGGGGGAAAUGGGUGGGCUUUUGCCCUCACCAGCUGAGAGCUAAACUGAAAGCAGGCUGAGGAGCUGGACCCAGAGACAUGCUUGAUUUGUGAUGGAAUCCAAGGCUGUGACCAAGAUCUGUUAGGGUGUUAAUGCUGUGAGCCCCUCCACCGUAGGCUCGGGUUCUAUAUAGAUGUAAAUAAAUCAUAUAUCUUAAAGACACCACAACCUUCACCUCAUUCCAAGGAUACCAAACCCUGUGUGAGCACCCAGAACCCCAGGCGUCUCUCACUGCUCAGAGACUGGUAUACAGUGGUACCUCGGGUUACAUACCCUUCAGGUUACAGACUCCGCUAACCCAGAAAUAUUACCUCAGGUUAAGAACUUUGCUUCAGGAUGAGAACAGAAAUCACGCAGCAGUGGUGCAGCAGCAGCAGGAGGCCCCAUUAGCUAAAGUGGUGCUUCAGGUUAAGAACAGUUUCAGAUUAAGUACGGACCUCCGGAAUGAAUUAAGUACUUAACCCGAGGUACCACUGUAUAACAAUAGUUUAUUUUGGGAAGAAGGUUUAAGGCAGCGGUCGGCGGGGUCACUGCUACUGGCCUUACAUGCAAACCCCUGGAAAGAGAUCGUGUGAAACAUUAAUUAUAGGAAGAGAAACUUAACCAGCAACUUUCAGAAUGGCAAGUUUUAGGAUUUCUGCUGCAGCUUGCUUUCUCCUCCUCCUCCUCCUCCAUAUUCCGUAUUUCCUGUUGUCACAUCUUUGUAGGCUGUGUGACCCAUCUUAAGAAUGAUUCUUGUAAAGCUGCUUUGAGUGUCUUUUUUGGCUAUGAAUCCUGCAAUAAAUAAAAUAAAUAAAUAAUAAAACAAAAGAACCAAAAGAAAUAAUAAAAUAAAUAAUAAAAUAAAAA